CGGGGCGUAGCGCAGUUUGGCUAGCGCGCCUGCCUUGGGAGCAGGAGGUCGGAGGUUCAAAUCCUCUCGCCCCGA
rfam:Candidatus Brocadia sinica JPN1 DNA, contig: brosiA.